rnacentral:rRNA from 1 species
AGCGAACGCUGGCGGCAUGCUUAACACAUGCAAGUCGCACGGUUCGGGGGCAACUCCGGGCAGUGGCGGACGGGUGAGUAACGCGUAGGAAUCUAUCCUUGGAUGGGGGACAACCGUGGGAAACUACGGCUAAUACCGCAUGAUGCCUGAGGGCCAAAGUCAACAAGGCAACUUGGUGGCGUCUGGGGAGGAGCCUGCGUCUGAUUAGGUAGUUGGUGGGGUAAAGGCCUACCAAGCCUACGAUCAGUAGCUGGUCUGAGAGGAUGAUCAGCCACAU